rnacentral:rRNA from 1 species
AGAACGAACGCUGGCGGCAUGCCUAACACAUGCAAGUCGAACGAGACCUUUCGGGGUCUAGUGGCGCACGGGUGCGUAACGCGUGGGAAUCUGCCCCUUGGUUCGGAAUAACAGUUAGAAAUGACUGCUAAUACCGGAUGACGACGGAAGUCCAAAGAUUUAUCGCCGAGGGAUGAGCCCGCGUAGGAUUAGCUAGUUGGUGAGGUAAUGGCUCACCAAGGCGACGAUCGGUAGCUGGUCUGAGAGGAUGACCAGCAUCACUGGGACUGAGACACGGCCCAGACUCCUACGGGAGGCAGCAGUGGGGAAUAUUGGACAAUGGGCGCAAGCCUGAUCCAGCCAUGCCGCGUGGAUGAUGAAGGCCUUAGGGUUGUAAAGUCCUUUUAACGGGAAGAUAAUGACGGUACCGUAGAAUAAGCCCGGCUAACUUCGUGCCAGCAGCCGC